UACGUAGGGUGCGAGCGUUAAUCGGAAUUACUGGGCGUAAAGCGUGCGCAGGCGGUUGUGCAAGACAGAUGUGAAAUCCCCGGGCUCAACCUGGGAAUUGCAUUUGUGACUGCACGGCUAGAGUGUGUCAGAGGGGGGUAGAAUUCCACGUGUAGCAGUGAAAUGCGUAGAGAUGUGGAGGAACACCGAUGGCGAAGGCAGCCCCCUGGGUUAACACUGACGCUCAGGCACGAAAGCGUGGGGAGCAAACAGG
rnacentral:rRNA from 1 species